CUACGGGCCGCUCCAGGCGCGAAACCUUUACAAUGCACGAAAGUGUGAUAAGGGAACCCAAAGUGCUCAUACACAGUAUGGGCUUUUGUCAAGAGUAAAUAUCUUGGAGAAUAAGUGGUGGGAAAGACUGGUGCCAGCCGCCGCGGUAAUACCAGCGCCACAAGUGGGAAUCAGCCUUAUUUGGCCUAAAGCGUCCGUAGCUGGUUUAAUAAAUCUUUUGUGAAAUCGUUAGGCUUAACCUAACGGCAUGCAGAAGACACUGUUAAACUUGGAACCGGGAGAAGUUAGGAGUAUUUUGAGGGGAGCGGUAAAAUGCUAUAAUCCUCAAAAGACUACCUGUGGCGAAGGCGCCUAACUAGAACGGAUUCGACAGUGAGGGACGAAAGCCAGGGGAGCGAUCCGGAUUAGAUACCCCGGUAGUC
rnacentral:rRNA from 1 species